UGGACCAAUCUAUCCAUAUCUCUGGUUGC
rnacentral:piRNA from 1 species